GCAUUAUUAGCGGCGUGGCUUCUUUCACAGACAGGUUGAUGGUGACACAGGUGGCCGUAGUUGCUAACUGUCUACUAGCUUCACCUGAACUGGACCUCUGGAUCGUGUUUGCGCUGUUGGAGCCAUUUGGAGCAUUUCUAAUGACAUCAUGUGGCCAAUAAUAAGGCUGCUGUGAGGUCACUGUACUAACAGACCGUCCAAGACGAGGAUGUCAAACUUACUCUACAUGAUGCGCCACAUACAGCUCACUCAGACCUGAACUGGAUCAUACCAGUCUCCUUUCUGUCAGUGUGAAGAAGCCUAACCUCUUAAAUUUAACCUCUGUAAAAUGUUCAUACUAGAAAAAGAAGCACAAGUGAGUGUCACCACCAGCAACUUUCACAAACUCUCAGUGUGAGCUCAGCUCAUUUGAGGCUCCCCAGCGCUGCAUCGCUGGCACCAUCAGACGUCCUGCUUUCGCCUGUGACCUUCUCCUCUGUGAUGCUGGUCCGUUCAGUGCAGCUUCACCUGAAAUCUGCCUGAGGUCUCAGGAGCCAACAUGGAGGACGAGAUCACCUGAACUGAGCUCCUCGCUGCGGAACUGCUGUAAUACCAACAUUCAUGUCGGCUCUACCACGUCAGCAUCAGGGUGAAGCUGGAGACUCUCAUCAUAUUGUUGCCACAGCGAUCAUUGCAGAUCUGAUGGGUUUCUGUCCUGUGAAAAGACUCACCCGUGUCUGCGCUGACGUCUCGGACCUCGCCUCACGCCAGCAGGCUCUUUAAUCCACUUCAUCACUGCUGUGAACAGGACUCAGUGUCUUCAUCGCAUCAUGUACGAAACACUUUAGAUUCUGUUAGCAAGAAGUGCCCCCUGCUGCCAGAGGCUCAGCAGUGACUACAGCAUCUGGAGAUUACAUUUCAAAUAUAUUUAAUCAAUCUAUAAUCUAUAUUUAAUCUAUAAUCCAUCUAUAAUCUGUACCUUAUUCAUCUACAGUUCAUCCUAAAUUUCAUUAAUCCCAUCGACUGAGCAGUUUUGAAUGAUUCUGGUAAAAGUGUUUGUGAUCUGGCUUCCAUCGUCUGAGGUCUCCAGUUCAUGUGACGUACAGUGGCUUGCAAAAGUAUUCCGCCCCCUUGAAUUUUUCCACAUUUUGUCACAUUACACUCUAUACACCUGGGGCUUAGAGUCCGCUUGGGAAGUGUGAUUGUGUGUACAGUGUCUAUUUAUGUCUGUCUC